UUUUUUUUUUUUUUUUAACCUUCAUCUAUUAGUCACAGCACAAUUCCUGAUGUCAUGUGGCUCAUGAAAGUGUCUGUCAGUUUGAAUGAGACUUUAUUUUGUUGCAUUUGGCAAUAAAAUGUGUUCAUUAUGUUCAAAAGUAAGUCCAUAGAUGUUCAUAGGACAUUAAAUCUGUUACUCUAGUCAUUCAGGUCUCUAUUCCAUUCAGUCCACUAUGGUUUUAUUACUAUACUAUUGUGGGCACGACAUGGCUUGUAUUGUGCGGAUGUGCCAAAAUAUCAAAUAUUAACUGAAAAAGUGGUCUACCCUUAUCUGGUAUGUUCAUCAUUCAUUUCUGACAAUAGUUCCAUCCUAGUUGUUUUUGCCAAACACAUGAACAUCAAUAACAAAUGCUCUGUGAGGCCUAAUAACAAUCCUGUAUAAAUCCACCAAGUUGCUGAGAGUCAAAUAGUUCUGUAUGUUCUUUUGACCAGGGUUAAAUGUUUUAUCGCACAUAAAUCUCAUGCCAUUUUGUUAAAAUAAAAGAAAGUAUUAAGUUAUGAAAUAUUAAAUGUAUAUAUUUUUUUUAAUUUUCUAUAGGUGUUGGU